GACAGAGGUGCCGAGCGUUCGGCGGAAUCACUGGGCUUAAAGCGUGUGUAGGCGGGUCGUUAAGUGUCUUGUGAAAUCCCACCGCUCAACGGUGGAACUGCUGGGCAUACUGGCGAUCUUGAGCCACCUAGGGGCAGACGGAACAAGCGGUGGAGCGGUGAAAUGCGUAGAUAUCGCUUGGAACGCCGACGGUGAAAACAGUCUGCUGGGGGUGUGCUGACGCUGAGACGCGAAAGCCAGGGGAGCAAACGGG
rnacentral:rRNA from 1 species